rnacentral:rRNA from 1 species
AGCAGUCGCCGCGGUAAUACGUAGGUCCCGAGCGUUAUCCGGAUUUAUUGGGCGUAAAGCGAGCGCAGGCGGUUAGAUAAGUCUGAAGUUAAAGGCUGUGGCUUAACCAUAGUACGCUUUGGAAACUGUUUAACUUGAGUGCAAGAGGGGAGAGUGGAAUUCCAUGUGUAGCGGUGAAAUGCGUAGAUAUAUGGAGGAACACCGGUGGCGGAAGCGGCUCUCUGGUCUGUAACUGACGCUGAGGCUCGAAAGCGUGGGGAGCAAACAGGAUUAGAUACCCCAGUAGUCCCUGUCUCUUAUACA